GACGGAGGGUGCUAGCGUUGUUCGGAAUCACUGGGCGUAAAGGGCGCGUAGGCCAGGCAAGUCGGCUUGUGAAAGCCCGGGGCUCAACCCCGGAGGUGCGGCCGGGACUGCUUGGCUGGAGGCCGGAAGAGGAGGGUGGAAUACCCAGUGUAGAGGUGAAAUUCGUAGAUAUUGGGUGGAACACCGGUGGCGAAAGCGGCUCUCUGGUCCGGUCCUGACGCUGAGGCGCGAAAGCGUGGGGAGCAAACAGG
rnacentral:rRNA from 1 species